UACAGAGGUGCCGAGCGUUAGGCGGAAUCACUGGGCUUAAAGCGUGUGUAGGCGGAUGCCUAAGUACCUUGUGAAAUCCCCCGGCUUAACCGGGGAGCUGCUUGGUAUACUGGGUGUCUUGAGCCACUUAGGGGCGACCGGAACAAACGGUGGAGCGGUGAAAUGCGUAGAUAUCGUUUGGAACGCCAAUGGUGAAAACAGGUCGCUGGGAGUGUGCUGACGCUGAGACACGAAAGCCAGGGGAGCGAACGGG
rnacentral:rRNA from 1 species